rnacentral:rRNA from 1 species
GAUGAACGCUAGCGGCAGGCCUAAUACAUGCAAGUCGAACGGUGUAGCAAUACACAGUGGCGCACGGGUGCGUAACACGUAUGCAACCUACCUUACAUUGGGGGAUAGCCUUUCGAAAGGGAGAUUAAUACCGCAUAAGACAGUAACUAGGCAUCUAGUAGCUGUUAAAGAUUUAUCGAUGUAAGCUGGGCAUGCGUCCAAUUAGUUAGUUGGCGAGGUAAUGGCUCACCAAGACGAUGAUUGGUAGGGGAACUGAGAGGUCAAUCCCCCACACUGGAAAUGAGAUACGGGCCAGACUCCUACGGGAGGCAGCAGUAGGGAAUAUUGGGCAAUGGGCGCAAGCCUGACCCAGCCAUGCCGCGUGCAGGAAGAAGGCGUUAUGCGUUGUAAACUGCUUUUAUACAGGAAGAAACGACCCUUGCGAGGGGCAUUGACGGUACUGUAUGAAUAAGCACCGGCUAACUCCGUGCCAGCAGCCGCCGUAAUAC